AGCACUUCCUUUGGUAUUACUCACCAGUCUCCUGGCCCUCCUUUCCUUCCAGUAGUACCUCAUGUGGCCUGUGUUACAAACGAUUAGAUUCCAAUUCCUCUAUCUGGUUUCCUGCUGGACUUUUUGAUUUUUUUAAUCAUGAGUGAUUUCAUUUGACCGUCCAGUAAACCCUUUGUGAGGAGGUCAGUUGAGGGGGCGGAGACAAGAUGGCUACAGAAGCUUCUGUCCAGAUGGAGAGUUAAAGGACAGAAACUUAGCAAGUAACCUGGUGGAUUUGAGCUGCACCAAGAGAGAAGGUUGAAGAAUGCACAUCAACCCCGCUGAGGCGAGCUGCAACACCAAGGAUACAAACAAAAGGGUUGGAAGACUAGAAGCUGCAUUAUUCAGAUUCCCAUGCCAAGAAGAUUCCAAUUUAGGUGCUGCCCAUGAAAAACAUCAACAUGAUACAGAAGCUGGAGAGAUGUGGAAGCCAUUCGGGCUCUAAUGGUGGUGGCAGGAGCAGACGAGAACACCGAAUUGGCAGGGGCUGGGGAGCCCAGUUUCCAGCAGUUUCAGAUCUCUUGGUUACAUUCCUCUGAACCCAUUUUGCUCCUCCAGGCCAUUUAACAACUUAUAACCAGAUUUUCCAUAUUGAAUCUGCUUGACAUAC